rnacentral:rRNA from 1 species
CGUGGAUUGGAUGCUGCCGUGUAACCAAUGGCUCGUCUGAAAUGCCUGAGUGUAUCCUGCUUUGCGGCGUAUUCGGUGUGAUACAUCUUCACCGGAGUUUGAUCCUUUUCGGGUUGCGUCUGCUUAACUAUGGCUCUAUGCUUCAAACCGUCUUGACAAGACAAUACUCUGACAAUUUGACCUCAAAUCGGGUGGGACUACCCGCUGAACUUAAGCAUAUCAAUAAGCGGAGGAAAAGAAACUAACAAGGAUUCCCCUAGUAACGGCGAGUGAAGAGGGAAAAGCUCAAAUUUUGAAUCUGGUGUCUAUGACUCCCGAGUUGUAAUCUAGAGAAGUGUUUUCCGUGUCGGACCGUGUACAAGUUCCCUGGAACGGGGCGUCAUAGAGGGUGAGAAUCCCGUAUAUGCCACGGACUACCGAUGCUCUGUGAUACACUCUCAACGAGUCGAGUUGUUUGGGAAUGCAGCUCAAAAUGGGUGGUAAAUUCCAUCUAAAGCUAAAUAUUGGCGAGAGACCGAUAGCGAACAAGUACCGUGAGGGAAAGAUGAAAAGCACUUUGGAAAGAGAGUGAAACAGUACGUGAAAUUGUUGAAAGGGAAGCGUUUGAAGUCAGUCAUGUUUGUCGGAAUUCAGCCCGGCUUCUGCCUGGUGUACUUUCCGUCCAACGGGUCAGCAUCAGUUUCGACCGAGGGAAAAAGACAUGAGGAAUGUGGCUGUCUCCGGGCAGUGUUAUAGCCUCGUGUUGUAUGUCUCGGUUGGGACUGAGGAACGCAGCGCGCCUAUUGGCCGGGGGUUCGCGCCCCUCGGUACGCGCUUAGGAU